rnacentral:rRNA from 1 species
AGUGGCGGACGGGUGAGUAACGCGUGAGAAACUGCCUUUAGGACGGGGACAACAGUUGGAAACGACUGCUAAUACCCGAUAGGACGAAAGUUGAAAGAUUUAUCGCCUAAAGAUGUGCUCGCGUCCGAUUAGCUAGUUGGUGGGGUAAAAGCCUACCAAGGCGACGAUCGGUAGCUGGUCUGAGAGGAUGAGCAGCCACACUGGGACUGAGACACGGCCCAGACUCCUACGGGAGGCAGCAGUGGGGAAUUUUCCGCAAUGGGCGAAAGCCUGACGGAGCAAUACCGCGUGAGGGAGGAAGGCUCUUGGGUCGUAAACCUCUUUUCUCAAGGAAGAUAAUGACGGUACUUGAGGAAUCAGCAUCGGCUAACUCCGUGCCAGCAGCCGCGGUAAUACGGAGGAUGCAAGCGUUAUCCGGAAUGAUUGGGCGUAAAGCGUCCGUAGGUGGUUGAAUAAGUCUGCGGUUAAAGAAUGGAGCUUAACUCCAUACCAGCCGUGGAAACUGUUGAACUAGAGGCAAGUAGGGGUAAAGGGAAUUCCCAGUGUAGCGGUGAAAUGCGUAGAGAUUGGGAAGAACACCGGUGGCGAAAGCGCUUUACUGGACUUGAACUGACACUGAGGGACGAAAGCUAGGGGAGCGAAAGGGAUUAGAUACCCCUGUAGUCCUAGCCGUAAACGAUGGAUACUAGGUGUUGCUUGU